UUGGGAGGAACGUCAACUAAGACCCGCCACAUCCUGUGGCGAACGUUGACAUCCCGCUUCCUUUGGC
rnacentral:sRNA from 1 species